UCCACGGCAUGUGGGAUCUUCCCGGACUGGGGCACGAACCCACAUCCCCUGCAUCGGCAGGCGGACUCUCAACCAGUGCGCCACCAGGGAAGCCCGAGAACCAGGAUUUUUUGAGAGACUACUGUAUGACAGAGACUUUAUUAGUUAAUUAGGCACUAUAAUUUGUUAUCUGAAUUUAACAGAAAAGAAAACUGAGGCCCAGCUGGUUAAGGCAAUGAUCGGCUUCCUUUGACAGCCCAGUCACGGGAACACAAAGUGGUAAGCCGGCUAUAAUACUCAAUAUUCAGAUAAUGUGUGCAUUAAAUGACUUGAAAAUAACACCAAAAACACUGUGAUUUUUUUUCUCUUUUUUCAAAACUUUCUUUUAUGUUUUAGUGGAAUUUUAAAGAGUUAAACUCAUGAAAAUGAAAACAUUAUUGGAUUAUCUAUUGAAAUAUGUGUCAAAAUUCUGUAACAUCACCUGGCCUUUUCUAGUCUCUUGAAUUGCUUAUAUAUACACCACUCUUCUUUGUGUUUAAGGAACAACAGAUUUGAAGACUACUUGACUGAACUCUCUGCUUCACUGAGCUGUGAAAUACUGUCAUGUAGCUUCUACUUGAUUUGGAGACCAAACUAAUAAAUUAUUUAUAUUGAUUAUUCAAA